GAUGAACGCUGGCGGCGUGCCUAAUACAUGCAAGUCGAGCGAACGGACGAGAAGCUUGCUUCUCUGAUGUUAGCGGCGGACGGGUGAGUAACACGUGGAUAACCUACCUAUAAGACUGGGAUAACUUCGGGAAACCGGAGCUAAUACCGGAUAAUAUUUUGAACCGCAUGGUUCAAAAGUGAAAGACGGUCUUGCUGUCACUUAUAGAUGGAUCCGCGCUGCAUUAGCUAGUUGGUAAGGUAACGGCUUACCAAGGCAACGAUGCAUAGCCGACCUGAGAGGGUGAUCGGCCACACUGGAACUGAGACACGGUCCAGACUCCUACGGGAGGCAGCAGUAGGGAAUCUUCCGCAAUGGGCGAAAGCCUGACGGAGCAACGCCGCGUGAGUGAUGAAGGUCUUCGGAUCGUAAAACUCUGUUAUUAGGGAAGAACAUAUGUGUAAGUAACUGUGCACAUCUUGACGGUACCUAAUCAGAAAGCCACGGCUAACUACGUGCCAGCAGCCGCGGUAAUACGUAGGUGGCAAGCGUUAUCCGGAAUUAUUGGGCGUAAAGCGCGCGUAGGCGGUUUUUUAAGUCUGAUGUGAAAGCCCACGGCUCAACCGUGGAGGGUCAUUGGAAACUGGAAAACUUGAGUGCAGAAGAGGAAAGUGGAAUUCCAUGUGUAGCGGUGAAAUGCGCAGAGAUAUGGAGGAACACCAGUGGCGAAGGCGACUUUCUGGUCUGUAACUGACGCUGAUGUGCGAAAGCGUGGGGAUCAAACAGGAUUAGAUACCCUGGUAGUCCACGCCGUAAACGAUGAGUGCUAAGUGUUAGGGGGUUUCCGCCCCCUAGUGCUGCAGCUAACGCAUUAAGCACUCCGCCUGGGGAGUACGACCGCAAGGUUGAAACUCAAAGGAAUUGACGGGGACCCGCACAAGCGGUGGAGCAUGUGGUUUAAUUCGAAGCAACGCGAAGAACCUUACCAAAUCUUGACAUCCUUUGACAACUCUAGAGAUAGAGCUUUCCCCUUCGGGGGACAAAGUGACAGGUGGUGCAUGGUUGUCGUCAGCUCGUGUCGUGAGAUGUUGGGUUAAGUCCCGCAACGAGCGCAACCCUUAAGCUUAGUUGCCAUCAUUAAGUUGGGCACUCUAAGUUGACUGCCGGUGACAAACCGGAGGAAGGUGGGGAUGACGUCAAAUCACCAUGCCCCUUAUGAUUUGGGCUACACACGUGCUACAAUGGACAAUACAAAGGGCAGCGAAACCGCGAGGUCAAGCAAAUCCCAUAAAGUUGUUCUCAGUUCGGAUUGUAGUCUGCAACUCGACUACAUGAAGCUGGAAUCGCUAGUAAUCGUAGAUCAGCAUGCUACGGUGAAUACGUUCCCGGGUCU
rnacentral:rRNA from 1 species